rnacentral:rRNA from 1 species
CGGUUGAUCCUGCCGGACCCGACUGCUAUUUGGGUAGGACUAAGCCAUGCAAGUCUAAUGGAACAGCUUUGUUCCAUGGCGCACUGCUCAGUAACAAGUGAUCAACUUACCCUUUAGUGGGGGAUAAUCUCGGGAAACUGAGGCUAAUACCCCAUAGAUGGAAAAGCCUGGAAUGGUUUUCCAUCGAAAGACAACUCCAAUUGCGGGGUUGAUCGCUAAAGGAUAGGAUCGCUCUCGAUUAUGGUUGUUGGCGAGGUAAUGGCCCACCAAGCCUAUGAUCGAUAGGGGCCGUUAGCGCGGGAGCCCCGAGAUGGGGACUGAGACAAUGCCCCAGGCCUUACGAGGUGCAGCAGGCGCGAAACCUUUACAAUGCACGAAAGUGUGAUAAGGCUACCCAAAGUGCCAUGAAAAAGGUCAUGGCUUUUAUGAGGUAUAAACAGCCUCAUGAAUAAGGAGAGGGCAAGGCUGGUGCCAGCCGCCGCGGUAAAACCAGCUCUUCAAGUGGUCGGGACUUUUAUUGGGCUUAAAGCGUCCGUAGCCGGUUUGGUAAGUUCCUGGUUAAAUCUAAUAGCUUAACUAUUAGUUAGCUAGGAAUACUGCCUUACUAGAGGGUGGGAAAGGUCUGAGGUACUCCAGGGGUAGCGGUGAAAU